GACGAACGCUGGCGGCGUGCCUAAUACAUGCAAGUCGAGCGAAUUUAUGGGAGCUUGCUCCCGUAAAUUAGCGGCGGACGGGUGAGUAACACGUGGGCAACCUGCCUAUAAGACUGGGAUAACUUCGGGAAACCGGAGCUAAUACCGGAUAAUUCCUUUCCUCACAUGAGGAAAGGCUGAAAGACGGUUUACGCUGUCACUUAUAGAUGGGCCCGCGGCGCAUUAGCUAGUUGGUGAGGUAACGGCUCACCAAGGCAACGAUGCGUAGCCGACCUGAGAGGGUGAUCGGCCACACUGGGACUGAGACACGGCCCAGACUCCUACGGGAGGCAGCAGUAGGGAAUCUUCCGCAAUGGACGAAAGUCUGACGGAGCAACGCCGCGUGAGUGAUGAAGGUUUUCGGAUCGUAAAACUCUGUUGUUAGGGAAGAACAAGUACCGGAGUAACUGCCGGUACCUUGACGGUACCUAACCAGAAAGCCACGGCUAACUACGUGCCAGCAGCCGCGGUAAAAC
rnacentral:rRNA from 1 species